CGCGUAGGCGGGUAUUUAAGUCAGAUGUGAAAACUCCGGGCUCAACCCGGAGACUGCAUUUGAAACUGGGUAUCUUGAGGGCAGGAGAGGAAAGUGGAAUUCCUAGUGUAGCGGUGAAAUGCGUAGAUAUUAGGAGGAACACCAGUGGCGAAGGCGACUUUCUGGACUGUACCUGACGCUGAGGCGCGAAAGCGUGGGGAGCGAACGG
rnacentral:rRNA from 1 species